rnacentral:piRNA from 1 species
UAGGGAGAUUUGUCUAUGAGGUGGAAU